UGUACAAAUCUGUAGUAGUUAGAUAACGCUUAAAACUCGCUCAGAGAUAGUGAGAAACAUACAGAGAGGAAAAGGGAAAAUAGGAGAAAUUAGGAAAUGUAAGAAAUAGGAGAAAUACACAUGAUCAGAAGUUUAGUGACAAGCAACCGAACAAGACGUGUUCAUUUAUUGAAAACAAUAUCAUUUUCCCUCCCACUUUUGAUAGUUAUUUCAGUGGCGACGAGGAUAGAAUUUUUUUAAAGUAUUUUAAAAUUUGCAUGAAAUUUUAUUUUUUAUUUCGCGUGUGAAAAAAAAGUGCAGUUUUGUAGGUUGAAAUAGUUCCUACCGAUUUUUUCCAAGGAGCUCGGCCAUUUGAACGAGGACCUCACAUCAGCACAUUUCUCUGUGUGAGAUUCAGCGAACCAAACGAAAUCAGCGACCGAGAACGCAAAAGAGAACAUCGUUAACAGGAUUGAGAAGUGUGCGUUCACCAUCGUGAACUACCGAUCAGCUCACCACUACCAACAACCAGUGCAACGGAGCCAGUCGAGUCGGCUUUUGGAGGUGUCAGCGUCGAUAAAAGUGCAUCGAGUGCAACAAAAAACAUCGGAUCAUUUGCCGUCGUGAACGAACCGUGAAGCUGUCACCCAACGAUCAGCUGUGUGCAUAUAGUGCGGACUCGAGUUUUCUGCUGCUGGAUAUACCGGUGUUGGUACUGCUGGAUUUUGUUGCUGUGGUGUGUGGAUUGCUGCUGUAGGUGCGGAGGUACGUCGUAGUGUUGGUGCCUUUGGCGUCGUGGGAUUUUAUUUGCUGUGACAGAAGUGCAUCGGAGAUUUAUUUUUGCCGAUUUUGGUUGCUGCGAUUUUGGUGCAUUUUGGCUACCGUGCGGUGGAGCGGAUUUGAAAUCGCAGAGCAACAUUUUUUUUACCGAGUGCUUUUUUGUUGGAUUGUUUUGGUGCAUAGUAAAUCAGAUUUCUCUUGGAGGAAGGAUAGUGCUGGCCCACAGACGUCAGCUUAAGCUAUCCACGAGCUCUUCUCGUAAGAGAACUUUGAUUUUACCUUUUGAGAAAGCGGCAAACUUCAUACCCGAUCCAGCACUCUUUUUGUCAUCAACAGCACCCAUUUCGUCAUCUGUAGAAAAUCGUGAAGCACCAAUUUUGUCAACAGCACGAACUGAUGAGCCUGUUUUGUCACCGACUUCAGUAAGAAGUGAUAGCAAUUUGAGAAAUAGCAGUAAAAGAAGACGAGAAGAUGAAGAUCCUGAUUUCGAAGAAUCACUUAAUGAAGAUUUCGAAUUUUAUGGUUAUCCUGCAGAUUCUUUCAUUUUUUCAAAUGAGGAAAUUCAAAAUAAUUUACAGAAUGAAGUUUCUGAUCCACUACCUGUGGUUUCGAUUAGGCGAUCAAAAAGAAUUAUGAAAAAGCGUAAGAAAAAUGAUUUUGUCUACUACAAGUAGAAUUGAAUAAUAAGAAUUAAUUGUAUAUUUUGUAAAUAUUAAUUAUUUUAAGCUAGUGCAUGUAAGUCAUGCCUUCGAAAAAUUUAAAAUACUAAAUGAAUUAUGUUUUGAAUCGAAUAAAAUAUCUAAAGUUUGAUUAAUUUGUCUACUAAAGGAUGAAGGAGUUGUAGUAGUUAGAUAACGCUUAAAACUCGCUCAGAGAUAGUGAGAAACAUACAGAGAGGAAAAGGGAAAAUAGGAGAAAUUAGGAAAUGUAAGAAAUAGGAGAAAUACACAUGAUCAGAAGUUUAGUGACAAGCAACCGAACAA